rnacentral:rRNA from 1 species
UAGGGAAUCUUCCGCAAUGGACGAAAGUCUGACGGAGCAACGCCGCGUGAACGAUGAAGGCCUUCGGGUCGUAAAGUUCUGUUGUUAGGGAAGAACAAGUACCAGAGUAACUGCUGGUACCUUGACGGUACCUAACCAGAAAGCCACGGCUAACUACGUGCCAGCAGCCGCGGUAAUACGUAGGUGGCAAGCGUUGUCCGGAAUUAUUGGGCGUAAAGCGCUCGCAGGCGGUUUCUUAAGUCUGAUGUGAAAGCCCACGGCUCAACCGUGGAGGGUCAUUGGAAACUGGGGAACUUGAGUGCAGAAGAGGAGAGUGGAAUUCCACGUGUAGCGGUGAAAUGCGUAGAGAUGUGGAGGAACACCAGUGGCGAAGGCGACUCUCUGGUCUGUAACUGACGCUGAGGAGCGAAAGCGUGGGGAGCGAACA